GGAGAAGUCGCCUAGUGGCUGAGGGCGGCGGUUUGCUAAACCGCUAUAGGGGCGUAAACCCCUAUCGAGGGUUCGAAUCCCUCCUUCUCCG
rnacentral:tRNA from 1 species